rnacentral:rRNA from 1 species
AUAUAGGUCUAAUCUACACAUGCAGUCGUACGGUAACAGGAAGCACUUGCUGCAUUCGCUGACGAGUGGCGGACGGGUGAGUAAUGUCUGGGAAACUGCCUGAUGGAGGGGGAUAACUACUGGAAACGGUAGCUAAUACCGCAUAACGUCUUCGGACCAAAGUGGGGGACCUUCGGGCCUCAUGCCAUCAGAUGUGCCCAGAUGGGAUUAGCUAGUAGGUGGGGUAACGGCUCACCUAGGCGACGAUCCCUAGCUGGUCUGAGAGGAUGACCAGCCACACUGGAACUGAGACACGGUCCAGACUCCUACGGGAGGCAGCAGUGGGGAAUAUUGCACAAUGGGCGCAAGCCUGAUGCAGCCAUGCCGCGUGUAUGAAGAAGGCCUUCGGGUUGUAAAGUACUUUCAGCGGGGAGGAAGGUGUUGUGGUUAAUAACCACAGCAAUUGACGUUACCCGCAGAAGAAGCACCGGCUAACUCCGUGCCAGCAGCCGCGGUAAUACGGAGGGUGCAAGCGUUAAUCGGAAUUACUGGGCGUAAAGCGCACGCAGGCGGUCUGUUAAGUCAGAUGUGAAAUCCCCGGGCUCAACCUGGGAACUGCAUUUGAAACUGGCAGGCUUGAGUCUCGUAAAGGGGGGUAGAAUUCCAGGUGUAGCGGUGAAAUGCGUAAAGAUCUGGAGGAAUACCGGUGGCGAAGGCGGCCCCCUGGACGAAGACUGACGCUCAGGUGCGAAAGCGUGGGGAGCAAACAGGAUUAAAUACCCUGGGUAGU